AACGCACAUUGCGCCCGCCAGCAUUCUGGCGGGCAUGCCUGUCCGAGCGUCAUUUCAACCCUCGAGCCCCCCGGGGCUUGGUGUUGGGGACCGGCCGCGCGCCGCCCCCGAAAUGCAGUGGCGACCUCGCCGCAGCCUCCCCUGCGUAGUAGCACAACCUCGCACCGGAGCGCGGAGACGGUCACGCCGUGAAACGCCCAACUUUUUCAGAGUUGACCUCGGAUCAGGUAGGAAUACCCGCUGAACUUAA
rnacentral:misc_RNA from 1 species